UGUGCCCAGCGGUUUCCUCAGGCUAACUCCUCCCGCCUCCUUCUGCCAGCCCCACCAUGGCUGAGCCCACAGCCAGAGGAGACAACGCCUUCUGGGGAGCUGCUGGUCCUGGAAGCUGCGGGAGAAGGGCUUCCCUUGGGGUGGGGCUGUAACCUCGGUGCUCGGACGGACUCAGGACAGACGCCGGCGCUCCGAUGCAGUCAGGACAGACGCCAGCGCUCGGACGGACUCAGGACAGACGCCGGCGCUCGGACGGACUCAGGACAGACGCGGGCGCUCGGACCGACUCAGGACAGACGCGGGCGCUCGGACGGACUCCGGACAGACGCGGGCGCUCGAAGGACUCCGGACAGACGCCGGCGCUCGGAUGGACUCUGGAUAGACGCCGGCGCUCGGACGGACUCAGGAUAGACGCCGGCAGACCCACACCUCACUGAGGGCCAGGGAAGAGCAAUGCUGCCCAGGAGGGCCCGUCCACCUGUGGGGCCUGGAGAUGCAGGACAAGCAUCAUUUGACUCCAGGGAACAGCAAUGCCGGCCGGGAGUGCCCAUCCAUGGGAAGAUGCUGGAGAAUCGACGUGGUUCCUGGUCCUGCUGCUGGGUCAGGACCUCAGAGGCCCCUGGAGUAUGUGCCUAGCCCACCCGCCCCCAGGCCCUCGCCUUCCAUAACCAACUCAAAAUGAAAACAGACCAAACCAUACAAUAAAAACGUGCAAUUUUAACAGUGGGGGAGCCUAACGUGGGCGGAAGGCGCGGGCUGCCCGGGGUUGGAUUCCGGGCCUUUCCUUACCAGCUGCACGACCUUGGGGACGCUGCGUACAUCUCCCUGUCCUCGAUUUCUCUUAUCUGUGAAAUGGGGAGAUCACAGAACCUCUUUCAAGGUCCCUGUGAGUGUGUUCAUAGAUACAAACCCUUAGAACGAUGUCUGGCAUUAGACACAGUGAUCAACAAUCAGGUGUUAUCAUUGAACGUGACACACGGAGCCCGUGUCUGCUGGAAUGAAAGCAGGUUCCUUCCGGGUUUGGGCUGCUCCUGAGUUCGCUUUGUGCCUGUGGGUCUGGACAGUCCAGGCCUCUGGGGCCUUUCCCCAGGGCUCCAGCCAGACAAUGGUGGACACGGCGCAGGGGCAGAGGGUGCUGGCCGG
rnacentral:lncRNA from 10 species